rnacentral:lncRNA from 1 species
UUGGUUAAUUGCAAAUCCAUGGCCAGAAGCCUGGCUUCAAGACAAGAAGCACAUUGAGGAACUGGAAAGGGAGCCAUCAAACUACUUCCCAGAAAUAGGUGAUUAUCCUAGGAUUCAGCAUGUUACCAAGUCAUAUACCUACACCCUUUCAGAAAUUGUCAUUCAUUGCCAUAUAACUCUAUCCAUGUCUGGAAUAACUUUGCAAUAUCUUCUGUGGACUUGGUAAUCUAGGAUCUUUGGGCAAAUUCAUCAUUUAAAAGGAUUUUUUUUUUCCAGUGUUAUGUGCCAUUUACAUUGUAGAAUCUUGAUACUUGCAAUUAUGGUGUCAUAUAACUUCCGUUCCAUGAUACUUGCAGGAUUGGCAAAACGUAGUCAUGAACCGAAGCUUGCAGAAGCCAGAGACUUAUCUGACUACUCAUCCAAUAGAAGUGAGGAACUUGUGCAAUGUAAUUCUAAAUGCUUUAUUUUGAGGCUGAACAUAGAGAAGAGUUGCAAACGUCUGCUUUGUGCAAAGAGAAACUCAAGAGAGUAGUAUCCAUUGUUGCAGUGGAAUCCCGGUGCAAAACAGAUAACUUGCAGCUUGAAGUGAAAGCCUUACAGACGAGGUGCUUUGGAGUAGAAAUGCUGCCAACAAGCUGCACAUGAAAUUGUUAGGAGUUUUGAAUGGAUUCACUGUGGAAGAAUUUGAAUUUUGGUUUCAGGAGUCACAGAUGAAGAUUAGCUAUCUAGAGUAGACCAUUGUAGAUACUGCUGAUGUCUGCAGAAGAAGGUUGGUCCCUUUGAUGGAGUUUAAGAACUGCUGAUAAUUAGCUUGAAGACAAGCAAAAUGGUAUUCACACACUAAAUGAAUCUAAAAAGGCUUUUUUGGUUAAGUUUGAUCUUUAUUUGUUGAAAGAAGUUUGGCGGUUUGACCAGAAGUAAAACUCACCAAGUGG